rnacentral:rRNA from 1 species
UACGAAGGGGGCUAGCGUUGUUCGGAUUUACUGGGCGUAAAGCGCACGUAGGCGGAUCGUUAAGUCGGGGGUGAAAUCCUGGGGCUCAACCCCAGAACUGCCUUCGAUACUGGCGAUCUCGAGUCCGGAAGAGGUGAGUGGAACUCCUAGUGUAGAGGUGGAAUUCGUAGAUAUUAGGAAGAACACCAGUGGCGAAGGCGGCUCACUGGUCCGGUACUGACGCUGAGGUGCGAAAGCGUGGGGAGCGAACAGG